rnacentral:rRNA from 1 species
GAUGAACGCUGGCGGCGUGCCUAAUACAUGCAAGUCGAGCGAACGGACGAGAAGCUUGCUUCUCUGAUGUUAGCGGCGGACGGGUGAGUAACACGUGGAUAACCUACCUAUAAGACUGGGAUAACUUCGGGAAACCGGAGCUAAUACCGGAUGAUAUUUUGAACCGCAUGGUUCAAAAGUGAAAGACGGUCUUGCUGUCUCUUAUAGAUGGAUCCGCGCUGCAUUAGCUAGUUGGUAAGGUAACGGGUUACCAAGGCAACGAUGCAUAGCCGACCGGAGAGGGUGGUCGGCCACACUGGAACUGAGACAGGGUCCAGGGUACUACGGGAGGCAGCAGUAGGGAAUCUUCCGCAAUGGGCGAAAGCCUGACGGAGCAACGCCGCGUGAGUGAUGAAGGUCUUCGGAUCGUAAAACUCUGUUAUUAGGGAAGAACAUAUGUGUACGUAACUGUGCACAUCUUGACGGUACCUAAUCAGAAAGCAACGGCUAACUACGUG